UCCUCCUCCGUCUGUUUCACUUUUACCGGAGAACCUGCUGCUCCAGCGUGACCCAAAGUGACCCAGCAGUUUAGCGUGGUAGCGAAGGCCCGGGGACUGACCGGGCUCUUGACCAGCUGACAGCUGCGUGUGAGAUGUUAAGUGCAGCCAAGGGUGACGCUGGGCAGGUCCUGGCCUUCUGAGGGUCUCAGUGCUCUCUUCUGUAAAAUGGGAACCCUGGUGGCCACUGUCUCCUGGUGCUGGUGUUGAGGAUUAAAGAGCUUGUAAUGCGACUAGGACAGCGUUUGGCACCUACUAAGCCAAACACCAAGUUAAUAGUUGCGGUGAGUAGAAACUGCUUGCUUGGUGUCACGGGGGCCUGGCAGUUUCUUCACCCUAUAUUUACAGUGGCACCAGUACACAUGUUUGGGCGAGUCUUCUCCACCAGAGGUAGAGGUGAGGAAUAGAGAGGGAGUUUAUUUUGAUUCUGGGCUGUGUGUUGCAGGUGGAGUUUGGGAGAACUGGGGGGCGUAGAAGGUGAGUGUAUUGGCUGGUUUUUUGAAGCCAGAGAGCCCAUCAGCAGCUGGAAUGGAGGUGCAGAAACUGUUGAGCUGGAGAGAGGAAUGGGAGCCUGAAGGCUGAGAGGGAGGGUCCCAGGCUACAUUUCGGAGCUGAGCCGCUCCGGAUGAAGCUGAAGCUGUGUCUAAAUGUGAUUAGCCAGGGGUUGGGAGAGCAACCUCUCCCCCCCUUUAGCCCCUGGCUUUCUUCUGCCCUAUCUUUCAGAGAGGGAGAAAACCGAAGGUGUUGGACCUGUUGUGCAGUUCCUUGAGGGCUAAGGAGCACUGAGCCAUAGGAUCUUCAGAGGGAAGCCAGCAUUAGUUAAGCUUGAAGACUUUCUAGCAAGAGAGUUGAGAUGAAGACACCAAAGAGAACAUGCACUGGUAAGACCUGGAAAUUCUGCCACCAUCUUGCUUCCAGCCUGAGAUGAAGAACCUCGAGAGAAAACAAGGGCAGAAAGCAUCAGGGUGAUUGCUGAGAAGCAGAGCUGGAACCACUGGAUUGAGUUCUCCAAAGCCUGUUGGACAUCUAGACAUCCAACUUUUUGAAGUCCCCUCAUACUGAGGACCUACUGAGUAUCAAGCACUGUUCUGGGCACUCAAGCAGAUGAAAAUCCUAGCUUCAUGGCACUGAGAUUCUGGUGGGGAGUGCUAAUCUCACUUCAAUACAAUCGAAAAAGCCUGGACUUCUCCAGGCUCCAGAUUGCUUCCACUGCUGGAUAGAAUAAAAGGACAAGUUCACCUGUGCUUGCUUGAGUCUCUGGGAGAGACAGCAGUUGGCCUGGUCUUCCAGAGAUGUUCAAAGAGGAUACUGUGGCCAACGACUGCCUGGCAGAAGUGAUAAUAUCUAUAGAAAGACGAAAAGGAUUCUUCCAUUACCGCAUGCUGGUCUUCCAGAAAAGCCUUAAAACCAAACACCGUGAUGAAUUGCCAUGCUGAUUAAUGAAGACACAACUGGUCCCAACUUGGAGCAGAUUCAUUCUUGGCUCUAGAUCCUGUUGAUUCUGCUGGCUUUGCACUGAGUCCAAGUUCUCAUCCUCGUAAUGAUCUGUGUGGGAACAGCUUAAAGACUUGUAAAUAUAUAGAAACUACGAGGAGCUGUGUGACCUUGGGCAAGGUAUUUCAUCUCUGAACUUCUGUGUCUAUACAAGGAGAAUGGUAUUACUGAUCUCAUCGAAUUGCAUGUGAAUUAAAUGAGAUACUACGGUAAGGUGUGUGUAUGUCCUUUUCGGGGAAGAGAAAGCUACCAGGUAGUAUACAGGUAAGUAGAAUUGCAUCCGUUAUGAAAGGGAUUUGUAGUGACUUCAUGUUCUGGGGGAGCCCCAAGUCUGAAAGGACUUACCCAGAAUACUUACUAAUUCCAAGAAACACACCCGGAGAUCCAGGAGAAGACCUGAGUUUACUCACACUGGGGAGACCAUGUUCUGGUGAUGACUGGGAGGACAAUGGUUCCUGCUUCCAGGAGCAUAGCUCGGGUUUAUAUGGCCAGCCCACGGUCAGCUCUUCUCAGAAGCAACUGAAGCCCAACCCCAUCCCCUGCUCAAGCUCCAAGUGAACCAGUCACCCUCUCAACAGUUUUUCCACAUCACUUAGCCUUUAGUGCAGAGUUUAAAAGGUGAGAGGCCUGUGCUUGGGUGCCAGCAAGUUGGGGGAAGAUAUCAUUGAGAUGCACAAUGCACGUGGAAGGAAGUCAGAAGUUCUUGGGAAACACGGUGGACUCUCAUCAGUGAAUAUGGCACAACACCCUCGCCACACACAACUACACAGAACUGUGGAUGUAGAAGUGUGGGCAUCGCUAUAUGGGGACAGUGGACAAUUAUCCUUCUCCCAUGCAAGAUUCCUCCCAAGUCUCUGUGUUCUACCUGCCUGCCUCAAGAGUGGCAGGAAUAGAACUUGACUCAAGUGAAGGAGCAUGGAAGACCAUCUGGGCAGAAGAAAAGCACUGACAUGUGCCAGCCAUGGUUCUGGAACCAAUAGAGGAUCCACCGGUGGACAUCAGAAUGUCAUUGAGUACUGUUAAAUUAAACUAUUUUGACCUAAAAUAGUUUACAGACGCUGUACUCUCACACUUUGGUUCCUAUGGAUAAGCUGAAAUCAUACAUGUAAGGCUGUUUUUCUGAGCUGGUUUCUAAGUUACAGCCAAUCACAGCAGCUAGGCUUCAGUCAAUCACAGGCAUCCCGCCUUUUAAACCGUGUUAAUGCAGACAAUCUUCAGAAUAUAACCAAUGAUUUCUC